UACGAAGGGUCCAAGCGUUAUCCGGAUUUAUUGGGUUUAAAGGGUGCGUAGGCGGUUUGACAAGUCUGAUGUGAAAUCCCGCAGCUUAACUGCGGAGCUGCAUUGGAAACUGUUUGACUAGAGGAAUGGAGGGGAGACUGGAAUACUUGGUGUAGCAGUGAAAUGCGUAGAUAUCAAGUGGAACACCAGUGGCGAAGGCGAGUCUCUGGACAUUUCCUGACGCUGAGGCACGAAAGCCAGGGGAGCAAACGGG
rnacentral:rRNA from 1 species